UUCGCAAUGCCCGAAAGGGUGACGAAGCGACGCCGCGUGAGCGAAGAAGGCCCUAGGGUUGUAAAGCUCUGUCGGGGGUUAUGAAAUGCAGGUUGGUUAAUACCCAACCUGUUUGACAAAGGCCCCAAAGGAAGCCACGGCUAACUCUGUGCCAGCAGCCGCGGUAAUACAGAGGUGGCAAGCGUUGUUCGGUAUUAUUGGGCGUAAAGAGCACGUAGGUGGUUUUGUAAGUCAGAUGUGAAAGCCUUCUGUUCAAAGGAAGAACGGCAUCUGAAACUGCAGAUCUUGAGUGUAGGAGGGGAGAGUGGUACUUCUGGUGGAGCGGUGAAAUGCGUAGAUAUCAGAAGGAACGUCGGCGGCGAAAGCGACUCUCUGGCCUAUUACUGACACUGAGUGUGCGAAAGUUAGGGGAGCAAACGGGAUUAGAUACCCCGGUAGUCCUAACUGUAAACGAUGGGCACUAAGUAGAGGGGUUUU
rnacentral:rRNA from 1 species